rnacentral:rRNA from 1 species
UACGGAGGGUGCAAGCGUUGUCCGGAUUUAUUGGGUUUAAAGGGUGCGUAGGCGGUCUUUAAGUCAGCGGUGAAAUCCUCCAGCUUAACUGGAGAACUGCCAUUGAUACUGGAAGACUUGAGUACAGACGAGGUAGGCGGAAUUGACAGUGUAGCGGUGAAAUGCAUAGAUAUUGUCAAGAACACCGAUUGCGAAGGCAGCUUACUAGACUGUAACUGACGCUGAGGCACGAAAGUGUGGGGAUCAAACAGG